ACGGAGACGAAGUACUCGUACGGAGUCAAAGAUGUAAUGUUCUAGCGGCGGACGGGUGAGUAACGCGUGAGCAACCUGUCCCUUACAGGGGGAUAACACAGCGAAAGUUGUACUAAUACCGCAUAAGACCACAGGAUGACAUCAUCCAGGGGUCAAAGGAGCAAUCCGGUAAGGGGUGGGCUCGCGUCCGAUUAGAUAGUUGGUGAGGUAACGGCCCACCAAGUCGACGAUCGGUAGCCGACCUGAGAGGGUGAUCGGCCACAUUGGGACUGAGACACGGCCCAAACUCCUACGGGAGGCAGCAGUGGGGAAUAUUGGGCAAUGGGGGAAACCCUGACCCAGCAACGCCGCGUGAGGGAAGAAGGUUUUCGGAUCGUAAACCUCUGUCCCAGGUGAAGAGGAAGAGACGGUAGCCUGGGAGGAAGCCCCGGCUAACUACGUGCCAGCAGCCGCGGUAAUACGUAGGGGGCGAGCGUNGUCCGGAAUGAUUGGGCGUAAAG
rnacentral:rRNA from 1 species